CAUAUCGUAGACAAGAAGUUGUCCUAUUUAGAAGUAGGCAGACAUUCGAAUCGUUUUCACAGGAUUUUAAUAAAAUGGGAUACCUGAAGGUAGCAGUCAAUACUUUUGUAACUUGUAUCAUUCUUGUCCAGGGAAUGGCUGAUCAGUGUACCACAGGUCCAAAUAUUGUAUUGCCAUGCAGUGAUAUGACGACACCAACCAGUCAUAUGUUUAUACCUGUUAAUGGUAGUAUACUUACAGAUGGAGACAAGGGUUGUAUAUGUGACGUCACCAUAGUAGAAGUGCCAGUCAACAGUAUCACGACUGAAGUCAGUGUUAGGAUUAUAGACAACAAUAUAAGGUGUGGAUUUCAAGUUACAGCUGGACGUCGUAUUAUCGAAUGCCAAAACCGGUCGUCUUCCUCUAAUAACAUCAAGUUAUACGAGUCUUUUAGUUUAACGUUCACCAGAGAUAACACACCUAAUCCAUCAUCUACAGCAGGUUUCUGUUUACAAGUUAUAACCCUAA